rnacentral:rRNA from 1 species
GAUGAACGCUGGCGGCGUGCCUAAUACAUGCAAGUCGAGCGAACAGACGAGGAGCUUGCUCCUCUGACGUUAGCGGCGGACGGGUGAGUAACACGUGGAUAACCUACCUAUAAGACUGGGAUAACUUCGGGAAACCGGAGCUAAUACCGGAUAAUAUAUUGAACCGCAUGGUUCAAUAGUGAAAGACGGUUUUGCUGUCACUUAUAGAUGGUUCCCCGCCGCAUUAGCUAGUUGGUAAGUUAACGGCUUACCAAGGCAACGAUGCGUAGCCGACCUGAGAGAGUGAGCGACCACACGGGAACUGAAACACGGACCAGACUCCUACGGGAGGCAGCAGUAGGGAAUCUUACGCAAUGGGCGAAAGCAUGACGAAGCAACGCCGCGAGAGUGAUGAAGGUCUGAGGAUAGUAAAAAUCUGUUAUUAGGGAAGAACAAAUGUGUAAGUAACAAUGCACGUAUUGACGGUAACUAAUCAGAAAGACACGGAUAACUACGUG